AAGAUAGAGGCGCAAUUGUCAUCAGUAGUAUGAUCGGAAAGCUUUCGCAGGGCGUUGAUCAUAUGAAAGGGGCCGUUGCCGAAGCGAAAGACCGCGAAUCUUUUGCUGGGCAUCCGGAUAAGAUCCGGCUGACUGUCGCAUUGGCGGAGAGCUAUA
rnacentral:ncRNA from 1 species